CAUGCAGGCGGUCGGACGCGUUUUGUGUGACAGCGCAUGGCUCAACUAUGCGAGCAUACGAAAGACGGUUUGACUUGAGGGCUCGAGAGGGACACGGAAUUCCGGGUGGAGUGGUGAAAUGCGUAGAGAUCCGGAGGAACACCGAAGGCGAAGGCAGUGUCCUGGCGAGUGAACCUGACGCUGAGGUGCGAAAGCCAGGGGAGCGAACGGGAUUAGAUACCCCGGUAGUCCUGGCCGUAAACGAUGACCACCAGGUGUAGGAGGUAUCGACCCCUUCUGUGCCAAAGGGAACCCAUUAAGUGGUCCGCCUGGGGAGUACGGUCGCAAGAUUAAAA
rnacentral:rRNA from 1 species